rnacentral:rRNA from 1 species
AAUCCCGGCUCGGGGAGGUAGUGACAAAAAAUAACAAUGCGGGACUCUUAUGAGGCUUCGUAAUUGGAAUGAGUACAUUCUAAAUCCUUUAACGAGGAACUAUUGGAGGGCAAGUCUGGUGCCAGCAGCCGCGGUAAUUCCAGCUCCAAUAGCGUAUAUUAAAGUUGUUGCGUCUAAAAAGCUCGUAGUUUGAAAACUUGCCUUGGCUUACAACAGACGUCUAAGGGCGUCACCGUUUGUCGAGAGCAAAUAUGGGUGACUGUUCUUGCCUUCUUCACUGAUUGGCUCGUAAAAGUCAUCGAAGAUCACUUUGAUUAAAUUAGGGUGCUCAAAGCAAGUGUGCUACUUGAAUAUGAAUGCAUGGAAUGAUGGAAUAUGUUGUUGUUCUAUUUGUUGGUUUUUUGAAUGACGAAAUGAUUGAAAGGAACUGUUGGGGGCAUUCGUAUUGUUGUGAGAGAGGUGAAAUUCUUAGACCAUAGCAAGACGAACUACUGCGAAAGCAUUUGCCAAGAAUGUUUUCAUUGAUCAAGAACGAAAGUUAGAGGUUCGAAGGCGAUCAGAUACCGCCCUAGUUCUAACCAUAAACUAUGCCGACUAGCAAUUUGCUUUUUAUUUUUAUGACUAAGUGAGAGGCCACGGGAAACCAAAGUAGGGUUAUGGGGGAAGUAUGGUUGCAAAGCUGAAACUUAAAGGAAUUGACGGAAGGGCACCACCAGGAGUGGAGCCUGCGGCUUAAUUUGACCCAACACGGGAAAACUUACCUGGUCCUGACACUAGAAGGAUUGACAGAUUGAUAGCUCUUUCUUGAUUUGGUGGAUGGUGGUGCAUGGCCGUUCUUAGUUGGUGGAGUGAUUUGUCUGGUUAAUUCCGAUAACGAACGAGACUCUAGCCUAUUAAAUAGUAUGCGGAAUCAAUUUCUCCCGCGUUAUUUCUUAAUGGGAUCAAGCGUGUUUAACGAUUUGAAACAGAGCAAUAACAGGUCUGUGAUGCCCUUAGAUGUUCGGGGCUGCACGCGCGCUACAUUGAAGAACAAAGUGAGUCCUCUGGCUUUUAACAAAGCUAGAAAUCUUUUAAUGUUCUUCUUAAUGGGGAUAGGGGAUUGCAAUUGUGCCCCUUGAACGAGGAAUUCCCAGUAAGUGCUAGUCAUUAGCUAGUACUGAUUACGUCCCUGCCCUUUGUACACACCGCCCGUCGCUACUACCGAUUGAAUAGUUUAGUGAGAUCAUCUGAGUGUUUGUAUGUGCAUUCAGUGCUUGUAUGGUGUACGAAGAAGAUCAAACUUGAUUAUUUAGAGGAAGUAAAAGUCGUAACAAGGUUUCCGUAGGUGAACCUGCGGAAG